GACGAACGCUGGCGGCGUGCUUAACACAUGCAAGUCGAACGGAAAGGCCCUGCUUUUGUGGGGUGCUCAAGUGGCGAACGGGUGAGUAACACGUGAGUAACCUGCCCUUGACUUUGGGAUAACUUCAGGAAACUGGGGCUAAUACCGGAUAGGAGCUCCUGCUGCAUGGUGGGGGUUGGAAAGUUUCGGCGGUUGGGGAUGGACUCGCGGCUUAUCAGCUUGUUGGUGGGGUAGUGGCUUACCAAGGCUUUGACGGGUAGCCGGCCUGAGAGGGUGACCGGCCACAUUGGGACUGAGAUACGGACCAGACUCCUACGGGAGGCAGCAGUGGGGAAUAUUGCACAAUGGGCGGAAGCCUGAUGCAGCAACGCCGCGUGCGGGAUGACGGCCUUCGGGUUGUAAACCGCUUUCGCCUGUGACGAAGCGUGAGUGACGGUAAUGGGUAAAGAAGCACCGGCUAACUACGUG
rnacentral:rRNA from 1 species